GAUGAACGCUAGCUACAGGCUUAACACACGCAAGUCGAGGGGAAACGAUAUUGGAAGCUUGCUUCCGAUAGGCGUCGACCCGCGCACGGGUGAGUAACGCGUAUCCAACCUGCCCACCACUCGGGGAUAACCUUGCGAAAGUAAGACUAAUACCCAAUGAUAUCUCUAGAAGACAUCUGAAGGAGAUUAAAGAUUCAUCGGUGAUGGAUGGGGAUGCGUCUGAUUAGCUUGUUGGCGGGGUAACGGCCCACCAAGGCGACGAUCAGUAGGGGUUCUGAGAGGAAGGUCCCCCACAUUGGAACUGAGACACGGUCCAAACUCCUACGGGAGGCAGCAGUGAGGAAUAUUGGUCAAUGGGCGAGAGCCUGAACCAGCCAAGUAGCGUGCAGGAUGACGGCCCUAUGGGUUGUAAACUGCUUUUAUAAGGGAAUAAAGUGAGUCUCGUGAGACUUUUUGCAUGUACCUUAUGAAUAAGGACCGGCUAAUUCCGUGCCAGCAGCCGCAGUAA
rnacentral:rRNA from 1 species